rnacentral:rRNA from 1 species
AUUGAACGCUGGCGGAAUGCUUUACACAUGCAAGUCGAACGGCAGCACGGACUUCGGUCUGGUGGCGAGUGGCGAACGGGUGAGUAAUGUAUCGGAACGUGCCCAGUCGUGGGGGAUAACGUAGUGAAAAUUACGCUAAUACCGCAUACGAUCUAUGGAUGAAAGCGGGGGAUCGCAAGACCUCGCGCGAUUGGAGCGGCCGAUAUCAGAUUAGGUAGUUGGUGGGGUAAAGGCCCACCAAGCCAACGAUCUGUAGCUGGUCUGAGAGGACGACCAGCCACCCUGGAACUGAGACACGGUCCAGACUCCUGCGGGAGGCAGCAGUGGGGAAUUUCGGACAAUGGGCGAAAGCCUGAUCCAGCCAUUCCGCGUGCAGGAUGAAGGCCCUCGGGUUGUAAACUGCUUUUGUACAGAACGAAAAGGUUUCUACUAAUACUAGGAGCUCAUGACGGUACUGUAAGAAUAAGCACCGGCUAACUACGUGCCAGCCGCCGCCGUAA